rnacentral:rRNA from 1 species
GAAUAAGCGGAGGAAAAGAAACUAACAAGGAUUCCCCUAGUAACUGCGAGUGAAGCGGGAAAAGCUCAAAUUUGUAAUCCCUAACGGGAGUUGUAAUCUAGAGAAGUGUUUUCGGUCGUUGCCUCGGACAAGUCCCUUGGAACAGGGCGUCAUAGAGGGUGAGAAUCCCGUCCUUGCCGAGCUACCAACGUCUAUGUGAUGCACUCUCGAAGAGUCGAGUUGUUUGGGAAUGCAGCUCAAAAUGGGUGGUAAACUCCAUCUAAAGCUAAAUAUUGGCGAGAGACCGAUAGCGAACAAGUACCGUGAGGGAAAGAUGAAAAGCACUUUGGAAAGAGAGUUAAACAGUACGUGAAAUUGCUAAAAGGGAAGCGCUUGAAGUCAGUCGCGUCUAUGGAGACUCAGCCUCACGGUGUAUUUCUCUGUGGACGGGCCAACAUCAGUUUUGGCCGCGGGAAAAGGGCUUGAAGAAUGUGGCAACCUCGGUUGUGUUAUAGCUUCUUGUCGUACACCGCGGCUGGGACUGAGGACUGCUAUUACAGGAUGUUGGCGUAAUGGCUUUAAGCGACCCGUCUUGAAACACGGACCAAGGAGUCUAACAUGUCUGCGAGUGUUUGGGUGUCAAACCCAUGCGCGUAAUGAAAGUAAACGUAGGUCGGAGGCCUCGGCCGCACGAUCGACCGAUCCGGAUCUUUAGUGAUGGAUUUGAGUAAGAGCAUAUAUGUUGGGACCCGAAAGAUGGUGAACUAUGCCUGAAUAGGGCGAAGCCAGAGGAAACUCUGGUGGAGGCUCGUAGCGAUUCUGACGUGCAAAUCGAUCGUCAAAUUUGGGUAUAGGGGGCGAAAGACUAAUCGAACCAUCUAGUAGCUGGUCCUGC